ACCUGUAAGAUUGGGAUAACUCGUGGAAACGCGAGCUAAUACCGAAUAAAGCUUUCGGUCGCAUGACCGAAAGAUGAAAGGUGGCAUGAGCUAUCACUUACAGAUGGGCCCGCGGCGCAUUAGCUAGUUGGUGGGAUAACAGCUCACCAAGGCGACGAUGCGUAGCCGACCUGAGAGGGUGAUCGGCCACACUGGGACUGAGACACGGCCCAGACUCCUACGGGAGGCAGCAGUAGGGAAUCAUCCGCAAUGGACGAAAGUCUGACGGUGCAACGCCGCGUGAACGAAGAAGGUUUUCGGAUCGUAAAGUUCUGUUGUUAGGGAAGAACAAGUGCCGUUCAAACAGGGCGGUACCUUGACGGUACCUAUCGAGGAAGCCCCGGCUAACUACGUGCCAGCAGCCGCGGUAAUACGUAGGGGGCAAGCGUUGUCCGGAAU
rnacentral:rRNA from 1 species